GCGAAUGCUGACAUAAGUAACGAUAAAGCGGGUGAAAAGCCCGCUCGCCGGAAGACCAAGGGUUCCUGUCCAACGUUAAUCGGGGCAGGGUGAGUCGACCCCUAAGGCGAGGCCGAAAGGCGUAGUCAAUGGGAAACAGGUUAAUAUUCCUGUACUUGGUGUUACUGCGAAGGGGGGACGGAGAAGGCUAUGUUGGCCGGGCGACGGUUGUCCCGGUUUAAGCGUGUAGGCUGGUUUUCCAGGCAAAUCCGGAAAAUCAAGGCUGAGGCGUGAUGACGAGGCACUACGGUGCUGAAGCAACAAAUGCCCUGCUUCCAGGAAAAGCCUCUAAGCAUCAGGUAACAUCAAAUCGUACCCCAAACCGACACAGG
rnacentral:rRNA from 1 species